rnacentral:rRNA from 1 species
GCGUAUUGAAACGUUAUCGAUAAGAAGAGAGCGUCUAGGCGAACAAUGUUCUUAAAGUUUGACCUCAAAUCAGGUAGGAGUACCCGCUGAACUUAAGCAUAUCAAUAAGCGGAGGAAAAGAAACCAACCGGGAUUGCCUUAGUAACGGCGAGUGAAGCGGCAAAAGCUCAAAUUUGAAAUCUGGUACCUUUGGUGCCCGAGUUGUAAUUUGGAGAGGGCAACUUUGGGACCGUUCCUUGUCUAUGUUCCUUGGAACAGGACGUCAUAGAGGGUGAGAAUCCCGUGUGGCGAGGAGUGCGGUUCUAUGUAAAGUGCCUUCGAAGAGUCGAGUUGUUUGGGAAUGCAGCUCUAAGUGGGUGGUAAAUUCCAUCUAAAGCUAAAUAUUGGCGAGAGACCGAUAGCGAACAAGUACAGUGAUGGAAAGAUGAAAAGAACUUUGAAAAGAGAGUGAAAAAGUACGUGAAAUUGUUGAAAGGGAAGGGCAUUUGAUCAGACAUGGUGUUUUGCGCCCUCUGCUCCUUGUGGGUGGGGGAAUCUCGCAGUUCACUGGGCCAGCAUCAGUUUUGGUGGCAGGAUAAAUCCGUAGGAAUGUAACUUGCUUCGGGAAGUAUUAUAGCCUAUGGGAAUACUGCCAGCUGGGACUGAGGACUGCGACGUAAGUCAAGGAUGCUGGCAUAAUGGUUAUAUGCCGCCCGUCUUGAAACACGGACCAAGGAGUCUAACGUCUA